UACGUAGGGGGCUAGCGUUAUCCGGAAUUACUGGGCGUAAAGGGUGCGUAGGCGGUCCUUCAAGCCAGAAGUGAAAGGCUACGGCUCAACCGUAGUAAGCUUUUGGAACUAUAAGACUUGAGUGCAGGAGAGGAGAGUGGAAUUCCUAGUGUAGCGGUGAAAUGCGUAGAUAUUAGGAGGAACACCAGUAGCGAAGGCGGCUCUCUGAACUGUAACUGACGCUGAGGCACGAAAGCGUGUGGAGCAAACAGGAUUAGAUACCCCGGUAGU
rnacentral:rRNA from 1 species